CUCCGUGCCAGCAGCCGCGGUAAUACGGAGGGUGCGAGCGUUAAUCGGAAUUACUGGGCGUAAAGCGCAUGCAGGUGGUUUGUUAAGUCAGAUGUGAAAGCCCGGGGCUCAACCUCGGAAUUGCAUUUGAAACUGGCAGACUAGAGUACUGUAGAGGGGGGUAGAAUUUCAGGUGUAGCGGUGAAAUGCGUAGAGAUCUGAAGGAAUACCGGUGGCGAAGGCGGCCCCCUGGACAGAUACUGACACUCAGAUGCGAAAGCGUGGGGAGCAAACAGGAUUAGAUACCCUGGUAGUCCACGCCGUAAACGAUGUCUACUUGGAGGUUGUGGCCUUGAGCCGUGGCUUUCGGAGCUAACGCGUUAAGUAGACCGCCUGGGGAGUACGGUCGCAAGAUUAAAACUCAAAUGAAUUGACGGGGGCCCGCACAAGCGGUGGAGCAUGUGGUUUAAUUCGAUGCAACGCGAAGAACCUUACCUACUCUUGACAUCCAGAGAACUUUCCAGAGAUGGAUUGGUGCCUUCGGGAACUCUGAGACAGGUGCUGCAUGGCUGUCGUCAGCUCGUGUUGUGAAAUGUUGGGUUAAGUCCCGCAACGAGCGCAACCCUUAUCCUUGUUUGCCAGCGAGUAAUGUCGGGAACUCCAGGGAGACUGCCGGUGAUAAACCGGAGGAAGGUGGGGACGACGUCAAGUCAUCAUGGCCCUUACGAGUAGGGCUACACACGUGCUACAAUGGCGCAUACAGAGGGCGGCCAACUUGCGAAAGUGAGCGAAUCCCAAAAAGUGCGUCGUAGUCCGGAUUGGAGUCUGCAACUCGACUCCAUGAAGUCGGAAUCGCUAGUAAUCGUGGAUCAGAAUGCCACGGUGAAUACGUUCCCGGGCCUUGUACACACCGCCCGUCACACCAUGGGAGUGGGCUGCAAAAGAAGUAGGUAGUUUAACCUUCGGGGGGACGCUUACCACUUUGUGGUUCAUGACUGGGGUGAAGUCGUAACAAGGUAGCGCUAGGGGAACCUGGCGCUGGAUCACCUCCUUA
rnacentral:rRNA from 1 species